AGCGAACGCUGGCGGCGUGCCUAACACAUGCAAGUCGAACGUGAAAGGGAGCAAUCCCAAGUAAAGUGGCGUACGGGUGAGUAACACGUAGGUAAUCUACCCCAGAAUCUGGAAUAACCGGCCGAAAGGCUGGCUAAUACUGGAUAGAGCGACGGAAUCCGUAAUUGGGUUUUUCGGGAAAGGGAGCCUGUAAAAAGGCCUUCGUUCUGGGAUGAGCCUGCGUCCCAUCAGCUAGUUGGUGAGGUAAAAGCUUACCAAGGCAAUGACGGGUAGCUGGUCGGAGGGGCGGUGCGGCCGCAUGGGAACUGAAACAGGCCCAGGACCCCGACGGGAGGCAGCAGUGGGGAUUGUUGGGCAGGGGGCGAAAGUAGGGCGCAGCGGCGCGGGGUGUGAGAAGAAGGUCUUGGGGGUGAAAGGCUCGGCGGGGGGGGAGAAAAAUGUUUGGAUUGAAAAGCACAGGGACUGAAGGUAACAAAUAAAGAAGCCACGGCUAACCACGGG
rnacentral:rRNA from 1 species